rnacentral:rRNA from 1 species
GACGAACGCUGGCGGCGUGCUUAACACAUGCAAGUCGAACGGAAAGGCCCUGCUUUUGUGGGGUGCUCGAGUGGCGCACGGGUGAGUAACACGUGAGUAACCUGCCCUUGACUUUGGGAUAACUUCAGGAAACUGGGGCUAAUACCGGAUAGGAGCUCCUGCUGCAUGGUGGGGGUUGGAAAGUUUCGGCGGUUGGGGAUGGACUCGCGGCUUAUCAGCUUGUUGGUGGGGUAGUGGCUUACCAAGGCUUUGACGGGUAGCCGGCCUGAGAGGGUGACCGGCCACAUUGGUACUGAGAGACGGCGCAGACUCCUACGGGAGGCAGCAGGGGGGAAUAUGGCACAAUGGGCGGAAGCCUGAUGCAGCAACGCCGCGUGCGGGAUGACGGCCUUCGGGUGGUAAACCGCUUUCGCCUGUGACGAAGCGUGAGUGACGGUAAUGGGUAAAGAAGCACCGGCUAACUACGUG